rnacentral:rRNA from 1 species
GAUGAACGCUGGCGGCGUGCCUAAUACAUGCAAGUCGAGCGAAUGGAUUAAGAGCUUGCUCUUAUGAAGUUAGCGGCGGACGGGUGAGUAACACGUGGGUAACCUGCCCAUAAGACUGGGAUAACUCCGGGAAACCGGGGCUAAUACCGGAUAACAUUUUGAACCGCAUGGUUCGAAAUUGAAAGGCGGCUUCGGCUGUCACUUAUGGAUGGACCCGCGUCGCAUUAGCUAGUUGGUGAGGUAACGGCUCACCAAGGCAACGAUGCGUAGCCGACCGGAGAGGGUGAGCGGGCACACUGGGACUGGGACGCGGCCCAUACUCCUGCGGGAGGCAGCAGUAGUGCAUCUUCCGAAAUAGACGAAAGUCUGACGGAGCCACGCCGCGUGAGUGAUGAAGGCUUUCGGGUCGUAAAACUCUGUUGUUAGGGAAGAACAAGUGCUAGUUGAAUAAGCUGGCACCUUGACGGUACCUAACCAGAAAGCCACGGCUAACUACGUGCCAGCCGCCGCCGUAA